UACGGGGGGAGGCAAGCGUUGUUCGGAUUUACUGGGCGUAAAGGGCGCGUAGGCGGUCAGCACAAGUCAGUUGUGAAAUCUCCGGGCUUAACUCGGAAAGGUCAACUGAUACUGUGCGACUAGGAGUGCAGAAGGGGCAACUGGAAUUCUCGGUGUAGCGGAUGAAAUGCGUAGAUAUCGGGAGGAAGCACCGGUGGCGAAGGCGGAUCUGCUAGGGCCGUGUCC
rnacentral:rRNA from 1 species